AACGAACGCUGGCGGCGUGCCUAACACAUGCAAGUCGAACGAUGAAGCAGGAAGAGCUUGCUCUUUUUGUGGAUUAGUGGCGCACGGGUGAGUAACACGUGGGUAACCUGCCCUUGAGAAUGGGACAACAUCGCGAAAACGGUGCUAAUACCAUAUAAGACCACGAGACGAGAGUCUAGUGGUAAAAUGGAUUUAUUCGCUCGAGGAUGGGCCCGCGGCCUAUCAGGUAGUUGGUGGGGUAAAGGCCUACCAAGCCAAUGACGGGUAGCCGGACUGAGAGGUUGAACGGCCACACUGGAACUGAGACACGGUCCAGACUCCUACGGGAGGCAGCAGUGGGGAAUUUUGCGCAAUGGGGGAAACCCUGACGCAGCGACGCCGCGUGGAGGAUGAAGGUCUUCGGAUUGUAAACUCCUUUUAUAAGGGAAGAUAGUGACGGUACCUUAUGAAUAAGCCACGCUAACU
rnacentral:rRNA from 1 species